UGGGGAAUAUUGGACAAUGGGGGGAACCCUGAUCCAGCCAUGCCGCGUGUGUGAAGAAGGCCUUAUGGUUGUAAAGCACUUUAAGCGAGGAGGAGGGUACUGGUAUUAAUACUACCAGGUACUGGACGUUACUCGCAGAAUAAGCACCGGCUAACUCUGUGCCAGCAGCCGCGGUAAUACAGAGGGUGCAAGCGUUAAUCGGAAUUACUGGGCGUAAAGCGCGCGUAGGUGGUUCGUUAAGUUGAAUGUGAAAGCCCCGGGCUCAACCUGGGAACUGCAUCCAAAACUGGCGAGCUAGAGUAGGGCAGAGGGUGGUGGAAUUUCCUGUGUAGCGGUGAAAUGCGUAGAUAUAGGAAGGAACACCAGUGGCGAAGGCGACCACCUGGGCUCAUACUGACACUGAGGUGCGAAAGCGUGGGGAGCAAGCAGG
rnacentral:rRNA from 1 species